rnacentral:lncRNA from 1 species
AAUUUAUUAACACGGUCAUCCUCAUAAUUGAUUACAAAACACUAUCAAACCAAACACAACACAUUUUACAUCCUAAAAUUUAAACACCGCAUAAAAAUACAAUUGAAUCUGAGCUUUGUUCCUCAAUUAUUAGCAUUAUUCUGUUUGCACAAAGGCUUUCUAGGCCUCAAAUUGCAACUCUUUUUUCAUGAAUAUGUCUGCAUUUUUUUUGGGUGAAUUGUCUUGAUAAUUUUCUUCAUCAACUGAAUCAACAACUUUAAUGUUCCAAUCCUGUAAUAGAUGAAAUAAAUUAAAAAAUGAAAGAAAACACAUGCAAGUGAAAGUGAUUCUAUAAGUCGGCCUCACACCUCAUUCUAUUCCAAUCAAAAAGAAGCUAUCCCACCAAAAAAGAAAAGAAAAAUAGCACAGAUAUGAAACUAUAAAAGAGAAAACAAAACCCAAAAAAAAAGGUUUAGAGUGAGAAAAUAUAGUAUAGAAAAACUAAAUAAAGACUAAAAAAAAUCCCUAUUUUGCUUUAACACAUACAAAUAUUAAAUAUAUCAAAUGUGAGUUUUGAUGCUAUAGACCCAUUAACAAUUUUGUAACUGCACAUUAUUUACAUGAUAAUAACUAAAAGCAACUGAACAUCACUACCAUCUUAGAAUUUUAUUUCCUCACAUUCUAAUAUAUCUUCUAGAUAAAUACUUUCAAGAUUGAAAUCAAUUUAAUUUGAUAAUUUCAGUAACAGUUUUAUAUUUGGUAUAAUAGAUUUUCAUAUACAUCAACAAUGCAAAAAAUGAUGGAUAACAAUAACUAAAACAAAAUAAGGCAUAAGGACUAACAAAAAUUAAUAAAAUCACAUACCUCAUGAAGUUUAUUUCUUCUACAUUUGGACUCGAUAAGAAAGCAUCUAAGCAUGAAGAAUAACCUGAGAGCAUCCAAUAUGAGAAUCCAUAGGGACAAAAGAAAUCAAUAAAAACAAACAAACUCAACUAUUAAAUUUGUAGAAAUAUCAUAAUUGUUGCGAAAAUAGCAAAUAGGCUCCUGCAAAUUUUCAAGUCUAGAAACUGAUUUUCAUACACAAAUUCAAAGUUGAAACUCUUAGCUUACUCUCAAGGCUUGUACAUACUCUUUUCGAUAUUCUAUUCUGCACUAUGCAAUACAACUUGAGAGAUAAUUUCACUGGAUAAGACUAUCAUAUUAUGCAUUUAGUUGACAAUGACAUUGCCGACUAAUAGCACUUGUCAAUAUUCAAUUUUAAAAGAAAAAUAAAUUUGUCAUUUCACUCCAAAAUUUUGCACGUCAUAAGACAUUAAUCCGCCUUACAUCAAAUUUACAUUUCAACUUACCAUGCAUUUGAACCACACUUUUCAGGUACACAAAUGAAAAUUUCCCUCUUAGCAAAUUACUCUAUUUAGAGCACAAAUUCCCACCUGGUACAAUCAGAGAACCAAAAAAAUACAAAAAAUAACUACAUUAUUUGAUAAAAAUUAUAUUAAAAAGAGCAAAUUAUAAAUAAACAGAGAAAAUAGUAAAUUAUCUGAUAAUGCAUCAAAUCCACUAUCAAAUAAUAAGAGAUGUUCCUUCAGUCCUGAGAUGAAUUUCACAAUUUGGUUUGAUUUGUGCAUUAAAAAUGAUCAAAAAAACUUAUUUUUAUCUUUCUUCCUACCCCCUUACAUUUUUUGGGAAAAAAGUGAAAACAUUUAGAGUUAAACCCCUCCUAUUUGAAUCAACUAACCAAGAAAUAAUAAUUGGAGUACUAAACUGAUAGUGUCAAAAGAACUUUAGGUGCAAAUUUGUUAUAAAGUGUCUGUCACCAAAACCCACUCAACCAUGGCAAGUUAUCCAGCGGGGUGUUUUCAUAUGAGUUUAUCACAUUUGGAGAGAAGAAAUUCCUAGAACUCAAUGAUAUACUUACAAUCCAUUUAACUUAAAUUAUUUUAAUUAAAAUUUCAAUCUGGCUCAAAAUAUGAAUCAUAAGUGUCAAUACAUUAACGCAUAUAAACAUUCUCUUAGUCUUAUUUCAUCAAACACUUAAACUACAGUUCUAACUACACGUCCCCCCUCUUUAUCUUUUAUGGGUUUUACAAAUAGAUUAGUGUGGGGUCUUCUAUAGAUAUGCACUCACCAAAUACAUCUAUAUCCUCCUUAUUACAUAUUAAAUCACACCUUAGCUAAGACUAAGAGAAUAUUAAAGUGAGAAUAUAAUCUUUCCCAACUCUAUUAAAUCACACACAGUACCUUAUAAAAAUUUCAAAAUCACACACUACAACCAAAAUAAUUAUAAAAAUUUCAGAAUCACAUAAUUUUCAGAAAUAUAACAAUAAGCAACAACUUCACACCAAGUUUAAUUACUUAAUGAAUCCCAUGAGGUCACAGGAGUAACUUCACUGUUGUUGGACCUCUAAAAGAAAAUCCAAAACAAAUCUCACAUUAUAUUGAGAAAAUAUUCACCAUUUCCUGCCGUUUCUAUAAAUAUUUCUUAAUUUUUUCUUUUUUUACUCGCCGUAGAUUCAAUAAUUGAUUAAUCUGAACCUGCCGCUGCCACUGUCGUGGCUUGUGAUCGGAAAAGACAGAGAAGCCGAUAAGGGUUAAUGAGUCACUGAAGAAAAGCCCUAAUUUUAAGUCAGAAAUUAAGGUUCGAUCAUCCAAUUUACAAUCAACAUAAAACCCAUCAAAACAAUCAAUAUAUAAUCGAAAAGAUAAACAUAUGUACUGAACUUACGAAGAGAAAUAAACUUAAAAGUUCGCUUUGCCGACCUUCAGAGAGCUCAAGAAAGAAGAAACUCAGAAAUGAUUGUGAGACGUCGAUCUCUCCAUUAUCGGCAAUCCAAUUGAACGACGAUCAAUUUCAUGUCUUGAUGCUCUCAUUACAUGUUGUUGCAACCCAAUUCUAGGAUUUUAUGGGAUGAGGAGGAGAUUAAACCGAGAUGGGAUUUAUUGAGGGGGAGAUGAAGAGAUACAAUCGAGGCUGAAGAAGAGGAAUGCUUUAAUUUUUGGUCGAUUAGUUUUAUUAUUUCUUAUUUUGCUCGGGAAUUGAAGGGGGAAAGAGAAGGUAGUGAGGAAGAGAGAGAGGGAGAGGAAGACUGGACGACAGAGAAACCGUCGAUUUAUCGAUUGAAAUGGACUGGAUUUCUGAGAUUUUCAAUUUGACAAGAGUUAACUCAGUGAGUUUUUCAAUUUAAAAGAUU